UGCGCGCGCCGGCGGCUCGCGGCCGACGCCGGGCCUCAGACCUGGCGGGAGCGUCCGCGUCCCUCCGCUCCUGCGCGUCCGAGCCGGGCCAGGGCGGCGUCGUCGGAGGCCCCAGAGUCCCCGCGGGCUCGGCUGGAGCAACGCGCCGGCAGCUCGGGAGCGCGCGGGACGCUCCCUGGCAUUUUAGAGGCUGGGGUUCGAAUCCCAGCUCCGCCAGAGCGACUCCGCGACCUGGGAGCACCGGUCUCGCGGCCUCGGUGUCUCCCCUAGGGUAUAGGGAGCCCUGAGAAGCCACAGAUCUUGGGCACAUGGCUGGAGGAUCUGUCUGUCGUGGCUCCUACAUCUCAGAGAGGUUCCUGCACAGAUUCUCUUCCAUUAUCGGUUAUUACAAGAUACUGAAUACAGUUCCCUGUGCUAUACAGUGGCGCAGUGGGUAAGAAUCCGCCUGCCAAUGCAGGGGACACGGGUUCGAGCCCUGCUCCAGGAAGAUACCACAUGCCGAGGAGCAACUGAGCCCGUGCGCCACAGCUGUUGAGCCUGUGCUCUGGAGCCCAUGAGCCACAACUAUUGAGCCCAUGUGCCACAACAACUGAAGCCCACGUGCCUAGAGCCCGUGCUCUGCAACAAGAAAGGCCACCGCAAUGAGAAGCCUAUGCACCGCAACGAAGAGUAGCCCCUGCUCACUGUAACUGGAGAAAGCCCGUGUGUGGCAAUGAAGACCCACCACAGCCAAUUAAAUAAAAAAAAAAAAAAAACUUAUUGCUGAAAAUGCUAACCAUCAUCUGAGCCUUCAGUGAGUUGUAGUGGUAAAAUCAAAGAUCACUGAUCAUAGAUCACUGUAACAAAUAUAAUAAUAAUGAAAAAAUUUGAAAUAUUUUGAGAAUUACCAAAAUGUGACAUACAGACAUGAAAUGAGCAAAUGCUGUUGGAAAAAUUGUACCCAUAGACUUGCUCAACACAGGGUUGCCAGAUAAUUCAAUUUGUAAAAAAUGCAGUACCUGUGAAGUGCAAUAAAGCAAGGCACAG